rfam:Toxocara canis scaffold133, whole genome shotgun sequence.
GUGGCAGUAGCUCAGUGAUAGAGCUCCCGCUUCGUAUGCGGGAAGACCUGGGUUCGAUUCCCAGCUGCUUACC